UUGGACCUGAUAUCAGACAAGACUAGCCCGNNNNNNCUGAAUUUAAGCAUAUCAAUAGGCGGAGGAAANGAUCAUUACCACACAAAAAAAUACCACGUGAACGUACUCUUUAUGAAGCAUGUGAGGAGAGCUCUAGCGAAAGUUUCCGNAGGCAUNGAUUUCUCUUUAAAUAAAAUGACUGAUAGAGAUAGCCUCAAAAUGAUUGCUUGUAAUAAAAUAC
rnacentral:rRNA from 1 species